rnacentral:rRNA from 2 species
GUCGGGAACUCAAAGGAGACUGCCAGUGAUAAACUGGAGGAAGGUGGGGAUGACGUCAAGUCAUCAUGGCCCUUACGACCAGGGCUACACACGUGCUACAAUGGCGCAUACAAAGAGAAGCGACCUCGCGAGAGCAAGCGGACCUCAUAAAGUGCGUCGUAGUCCGGAUUGGAGUCUGCAACUCGACUCCAUGAAGUCGGAAUCGCUAGUAAUCGUGGAUCAGAAUGCCACGGUGAAUACGUUCCCGGGCCUUGUACACACCGCCCGUCACACCAUGGGAGUGGGUUGCAAAAGAAGUAGGUAGCUUAACCUUCGGGAGGGCGCUUACCACUUUGUGAUUCAUGACUGGGGUGAAGUCGUAACAAGGUAACCGUAGGGGAACCUGCGGUUGGAUCACCUCCUUACCUUAAAGAAGC